rnacentral:rRNA from 1 species
UGAGGAAUAUUGGUCAAUGGGCGAGAGCCUGAACCAGCCAAGUAGCGUGAAGGAUGAAGGCCCUAUGGGUCGUAAACUUCUUUUAUGGGGGAAUAAAGUGAGGUAUGUAUACCUUUUUGUAUGUACCCUAUGAAUAAGGAUCGGCUAACUCCGUGCCAGCAGCCGCGGUAAUACGGAGGAUCCGAGCGUUGUCCGGAAUUAUUGGGCGUAAAGGGAGCGCAGGUGGAUCGUAAAGUCUUGUUUAAAAGAGCGGGGCUCAGCCCCGUUAGGGACAAGAAACUUAAGAUCUUGAGUGCAGGAGAGGGAAGCGGAAUUCCUAGUGUAGCGGUGAAAUGCGUAGAUAUUAGGAGGAACACCAGUGGCGAAGGCGGCUUCCUGGACUGUAACUGACACUGAGGCUCGAAAGCUAGGGUAGCGAACG